rnacentral:rRNA from 1 species
AUUGAACGCUGGCGGCGGGCCUAACACAUGCAAGUCGAGCGGAGCGGGAGACGGGUGAGUAAUGCCUAGGAAUUUACCUGGUAGUGGGGGAUAACGUUCGGAAACGGGGGCUGAUACCGCAUACUAUAAACUGAAAAUCGGUCGGGUUAGAUAGGUGGUGGGGUAAAGGCCUACCAAUGCGACGAUCCGGAACUGGUCUGAGAGGAUGAUGAGUCAAACUGGAACUGAGACACGGUCCAGACACCGACGGGAGGCAGCAGUGGGGAAUAUUGGACAAUGGGCGAAAGCCUGAUCCAGCCAUGCCGCGUGUGUGAAGAAGGUCUUCGGAUUGGAAAGCACUUUAAGUUGGGAGGCGUUACCGACAGAAGAAGCACCGGCUAACUCCGUGCCAGCAGCCGCGGUAAUAC